AACUUUACACUGCGGGAAACCGCGAUAAGGGGACCCCGAGUGCCAGCACCUAGUGCUGGCUGUCCUMCUGUCUAAAUAACAGUGGUUAGCAAGGGCCGGGCAAGACCGGUGCCAGCCGCCGCGGUAACACCGGCGGCCCGAGUGGUAACCGUUUUUAUUGGGUUUAAAGGGUCCGUAGCCGGCUUAYUAAGUCUYUUGGGAAAUCUGGCGGCUCAAUCGUCAGGCGGCCAAGAGAUACUGGUAGGCUUGGGACCGGGAGAGGUGGGAGGUACUCCAGGGGUAGGGGUGAAAUCUCGUAAUCCUUGGGGGACCACCGAUGGCGAAGGCAUCCCACCAGAACGGGUCCGACGGUGAGGGACGAAAGCUGGGGGCACGAACCGGAUUAGAUACCCGGGUAGUCCCAGCUGUAAACGAUGCUCGCUAGGUGUCAGGUGCGGUGCGACCGCAUCUGGUGCCGCAGUGAAAACUUGAAGCGAGUCACCUGGGAAGUACGGUCGCAAGGCUGAAACUUAA
rnacentral:rRNA from 1 species